rnacentral:rRNA from 1 species
AUACCCUAUUAUUUUUAAAGUGAAGUUUUCAAGCUGGAGUAUUAAUAGUUAUAUUCUUAAAACUUAAAGAAUUUGGCGGUAUUAUUAUCUAUUUAGAGGAAUUUGUUGAGUAAUUGAUAAUCCACAAUUAAUCUUACUUAAAUUAUUUCUUGUAUAUCGCUGUUUAAGAAAAUAUUUUUAGAUGAUUUUCUUAAUAUAAUAAUAAGUAAUAUUUCAAGUCAAGGUGCAGUAAUAUAUAAGUUGAACAAUGGAUUACAAUAAAUUAUAUUUAUUAUGGAUUGUUGAUGUGAAUUAAUUUGAAAGUGGAUUUAAUAGUAAUUUUAUGAAGAUUGUUAAAAUGAUUAAUAGAUCUAUAAUAUGUACAUAUCGCCC